CUGACUGCCUACGCCACUCCGGUUCUUCCAGGUCCGCUCCGCGCAGCACAGAAGCUAAAUCCACAGCCCGGAAGCUUCUUGCACCUUUGGAGCGGGACUUGGUCGUCACAGAACGGGGAGAUACUCAGGCAGGAAAGAGGAAUUGAUGCCCAGUUACCCGCGGGAUGCCUUUGGGGAGAGACCUCCGGAGCCAACGCCCUCCCUUGGAAAUAGGUUUCCGUGCCCGCGCGCGGGCCAUCUGGAGCGGGGACAUCAGAGGCGUGGCCUCGGUGCUGCCGUGGAUCCGAGAGCUCGCGUCGUGUGAAGGGACUCCCUUAGGCUCACGGCCCUACAGCCUCUGUCAAGUGGAAAGGUGCUGGGCGGGCUUAAAAGCCCUUGCUUAGGCCCCUUAAGCAAAGACUGAGUUGUAAGCUUCAGAGAGCACAAGUGCCAUGUGUUGGAGGCACCAGUGUGGAGCAUCUAAUGUCCCUGCGGGUGUGAGCGUUCAGAUGGGAAACCUGAACAGGAACUUCCACAGGAACGCUUGGACCGAGCCCAUCUUGCGCUGAAAUUGAGAAAUUUGGAAGUGCAGGUGCACCCCGGUUCCAUUCACUGUGUCAAAGGCAGCCUUGUUUUUGUACUUAAACACCCUUCAGGGUGUGCAGUUUAGGUCUUCUCUGCUGCCAGAGGCAGGAGGCACAACGUGCAAACGUUCAGCAAAGGAAGGACAAAAGUUAACUACUGGAGACAACUCUAGAUGCUUUUUUCAGCCCAGAGACAGCACCAGAGGAAUCUCCAUAACACAUCUUACCUUCCAUUAGUUCCUCCAUAUAUUUGCCUUCCCACAAUUUGCUGCCCUAGAAACUCAAAAGUCUUUUCCUUUGCCUUGUCAUUUAUCUAAAAAUUUAUUGUUCUUUUUUUGAGAUGCUAUAUAGGCCGAGUUCUAACCACUCUUUUGAGUUACUCACCUCCGAGUUGCUCCCAUGUGUUUGCGUGAUGCAUACAUUAAUAAACUUUUUUUAAAAUAAA